rnacentral:rRNA from 2 species
AGAGGGCGUGAAACCGCUUAGAAGGAAACGAGAGGAGCCGCUAUUUGCCAGCAAAAUUCAACUGUUUUGCUGCUUUGUGGCAUUAACAGUGCAUUUUUUGUUGGUUAGCACUGAGAGCUGUGCUGGAAGCAUUGCGGCUCGCUAAAAGGUAGGCACAUUUGUGUACAUAUUUUUGCGGGUUGCAUCGCGUUUCGGUACGGUUUUGAACACUCUGAAUGGAUCGGCUGCGGUUGAUCAUCUUUUCAUUUCUCCGUUUCUGGUUUCUAGCCGGACUCGGUGAUUGGAAGUUUGUGAUUCUAUCAGUCGAGAAGGUGUUGUUUCGGUGUGAAAGUCGGCUACCCUCCCGACCCGUCUUGAAACACGGACCAAGGAGUCUAACAUGUGCGCAAGUCAUUGGGUUUAUUAAACCUACAGGCGAAAUGAAAGUAAAGGCCGGCUCGGUCGGCUGACACACGAUCCAUUCAGCUUGCUGUUUGGCGCAGUGUGGUCCCAUCUUAGAUGCUUGUCAUCGAGGUGGAGAUUGAGCGUACAUGUUGGGACCCGAAAGAUGGUGAACUAUGCCUGAACAGGAUGAAGCCAGAGGAAACUCUGGUGGAAGUCCGAAACGGUUCUGACGUGCAAAUCGA